rnacentral:rRNA from 1 species
UCAAGCCGGGAGAUAGCUGGUUCUCCCCGAAAGCUAUUUAGGUAGCGCCUCGUGAAUUCAUCUUCGGGGGUAGAGCACUGUUUCGGCUAGGGGGUCAUCCCGACUUACCAACCCGAUGCAAACUACGAAUACCGAAGAAUGUUAUCACGGGAGACACACGGCGGGUGCUAACGUCCGUCGUGAAGAGGGAAACAACCCAGACCGCCAGCUAAGGUCCCAAAGUCAUGGUUAAGUGGGAAACGAUGUGGGAAGGCACAGACAGCCAGGAUGUUGGCUUAGAAGCAGCCAUCAUUUAAAGAAAGCGUAAUAGCUCACUGGUCGAGUCGGCCUGCGCGGAAGAUGUAACGGGGCUAAACCAUGCACCGAAGCUGCGGCAGCGACACUAUGUGUUGUUGGGUAGGGGAGCGUUCUGUAAGCCUGCGAAGGUGUGCUGUGAGGCAUGCUGGAGGUAUCAGAAGUGCGAAUGCUGACAUAAGUAACGAUAAAGCGGGUGAAAAGCCCGCUCGCCGGAAGACCAAGGGUUCCUGUCCAACGUUAAUCGGGGCAGGGUGAGUCGACCCCUAAGGCGAGGCCGAAAGGCGUAGUCGAUGGGAAACAGGUUAAUAUUCCUGUACUUGGUGUUACUGCGAAGGGGGGACGGAGAAGGCUAUGUUAGCCGGGCGACGGUUGUCCCGGUUUAA